rnacentral:rRNA from 1 species
ACUCAAAGGAAUAGACGGGGGCCCGCACAAGCGGAGGAACAUGUGGUUUAAUUCGAUGAUACGCGAGGAACCUUACCUGGGCUUAAAUGUAGAGUGCAUUUCCGCGAAAGCGGGAUUUCCUUCGGGACUCUUUGCAAGGUGCUGCAUGGUUGUCGUCAGCUCGUGCCGUGAGGUGUCGGGUUAAGUCCCAUAACGAGCGCAACCCUUAUCGUUAGUUGCCAGCGGGUAAUGCCGGGAACUCUAACGAAACUGCCGGUGUAAACCGUGAGGAAGGUGGGGAUGACGUCAAAUCAGCACGGCCCUUAUGUCCAGGGCUACACACGUGUUACAAUGGCCGGUACAGAGGGCAGCUACCUGGAGACAGGAUGCGAAUCUCCAAAGCCGGUCUCAGUUCGGAUCGGAGUCUGCAACUCGACUCCGUGAAGCUGGAUUCGCUAGUAAUCGCGCAUCAGCCAUGGCGCGGUGAAUACGUUCCCGGGCCUUGUACACACCGCCCGU